rnacentral:rRNA from 1 species
GAUGAGCGCUGGCGGCGUGCCUAAUACAUGCAAGUCGAGCGAACAGACGAGGAGCUUGCUCCUCUGACGUUAGCGGCGGACGGGUGAGUAACACGUGGAUAACCUACCUAUAAGACUGGGAUAACUUCGGGAAACCGGAGCUAAUACCGGAUAAUAUAUUGAACCGCAUGGUUCAAUAGUGAAAGACGGUUUUGCUGUCACUUAUAGAUGGAUCCGCGCCGCAUUAGCUAGUUGGUAAGGUAGCGGCUUACCAAGGCAACGAUGCGUAGCCGACCUGAGAGGGUGAUCGGCCACACUGGAACUGAGACACGGUCCAGACUCCUACGGGAGGCAGCAGUAGGGAAUCUUCCGCAAUGGGCGAAAGCCUGACGGAGCAACGCCGCGUGAGUGAUGAAGGUCUUCGGAUCGUAAAACUCUGUUAUUAGGGAAGAACAAAUGUGUAAGUAACUAUGCACGUCUUGACGGUACCUAAUCAGAAAGCCACGGCUAACUACGUG